rnacentral:rRNA from 1 species
UACGAAGGGGGCUAGCGUUGCUCGGAAUCACUGGGCGUAAAGGGUGCGUAGGCGGGUCUUUAAGUCAGGGGUGAAAUCCUGGAGCUCAACGUCCAGAACUGCCUUUGAUACUGAGGAUCUUGAGUCCGGGAGAGGUGAGUGGAACUGCGAGUGUAGAGGUGAAAUUCGUAGAUAUUCGCAAGAACACCAGUGGCGAAGGCGGCUCACUGGCCGGUUCUGACGCUGAGGCGCGAAAGCGUGGGGAGCAAACAGGG